GGGGGCGUGGCUCAGUGGUAGAGCCCCUGCCUAGAAUCCCCCAGGGAGGGGCUGGGGGCAUGGCUCAGCAGAAAAGCACAGGUGUAGCCUGUGAAGAUUUUGGGUUUGGUUCCCAGUGUCCCCA
rnacentral:tRNA from 1 species